rnacentral:rRNA from 1 species
UACGUAGGGUGCAAGCGUUGUCCGGAAUUAUUGGGCGUAAAGAGCUCGUAGGCGGUCUGUCGCGUCGGCUGUGAAAGUCAGGGGCUCAACCCUUGAAAGCCGGCCGAUACUGUCGGACUAGAGUCCGGAAGAGGCAAGUGGAAUUCCCGGUGUAGCGGUGAAAUGCGCAGAUAUCGGGAGGAACACCAAUGGCGAAGGCAGCUUGCUGGGACGGUACUGACGCUGAGGCGCGAAAGCGUGGGGAGCAAACAGG